UACAGAGGGUGCGAGCGUUAAUCGGAAUUACUGGGCGUAAAGCGUGCGUAGACGGCUAUCUAAGUCGGGUGUGAAAGCCCCCGGCUCAACUGGGGAGGGUCACGCGAUACUGCUCGACUCGAAGGCAGGAGAGGGAAGUGGAAUUCCCGGUGUAGUGGUGAAAUGCGUAGAUAUCGGGAGGAACACCAGUGGCGAAGGCGACUUCCUGGCCUGUUCUUGACGCUGAGGCGCGAAAGCUAGGGUAGCAAACAGG
rnacentral:rRNA from 1 species